AUCCUGGAUCAGCAGCGCGUCUUGCUCAUAUCACAAGGCUCUUGCCUUGUGGUGAUACCAAAGACAUCCUUUUCCUUCUGGGAAACAUUCUUCUAGUAGUGGUGUAAUUCAAAGGUGAGGUGUUGGAUCUUUGAAACUUGUGUCUGCGCGUAUCAAAUCUAUUGUGCAACUGCUAGUCUUGAUUUGUUGAAUUCAGAAACUGGAUUAGUAGGGGAAGCUGUAGAACAGAGGUAUGCUGAUGCUGGGAAAACAGCAUAAUAAUAAUAAUUCUGUGAUUUGGAGUACUCAUGCAUUGCCAGAGUUUCGAUCAGGAAGGACAGUGAGGAUUCCAGUGUUAGGGGUUUUCUGAGGGUCAGGGUUCUAGCUGAAGUAGCAGAUCUGUCUGAGGCAAGCUUAUAAAGCACCUGCUUGUUUUGUUUGCAGUACCAGAGCUCUUAAUCCAUUUUUCUGGAUGCUGAACAUGUAAAAACUUUGGGAAAUAUCCAAUGAUAUUAAAAUUUAAAGCUUUUUAAAAUCUAGGCUAAGUCUGUUUGCCUCCUAUUCUGAUCUUGUUGCAAAAUACUUAAAGGUAGUAUUUUGAGAGUCUCGUUUAUUAUUUUUUUCCCCUUAUCUCUUACCUGAAGUCUGGCCAUUACUGUGGUUGGCCGCAUCUAUAAACUUCAGCUUCACCAAGUUGCCCACUUUUUUCUUUGAACUAUUUUCCUUCUUCUCAUGGUAUUUUGUAUAACCUUAUUACUUCAUCUUCAAUGUUUACUAUAAAAUAAUUUCUCAGUAUCAUAUCUUUAAUUCUAAUUAUAUCCCUUGAUUGUAACUUUCUUGCCCAGCCUUCCUUUUUUUGUAAUUCCAGCUACUUAUAUCUGCGUUUUCUCCUGAUAUUUAAUUGUGUUCCUAUCCUCAGUUUAUGCCUUUGGCUUCCUGUCUCACAUUACAGCUCCCUUCUCAGACCCUGAGUAAUCUUACCUGAGUUCACUAUCUUGAUUCACUGCCACAGCUUUAUAUAAACACUUCCAGUCAUAUUUUCUUGCUGCUCUUUUGGGCUUUAGUUAUGCUAGAGCUCUCUGGGCUAGCUUGUCUUCGGAUGCCUCUGCAAACUCCGAGGCUAUUGCAGAGUAACAUUGUUAACAUGUUGUAACAAGUUGGCGCAGUAUUUGUUCUGCGGAUUCUACAAGGAAGGUCUACCCGUCAUUGGCCAAAUUGGUUUCCACGUAUGUGUCAUGUGCAGCAGGCACGGUGCUGUAUAGGACUUCACAUAGUACAAGCAAAUUUCUACUCUACAAACACAAGAUCUCAUGGUACAAACGACUUUUAUUGGUUUUUUUUGGGGGGGCUUUUUUUUUUUUUUUUUUAAAUUUCCUCAUCUGUGUAAGUUGCUUCAUGUAUUUGGAUAUAUUAUGCUACUUUUUUUUUUGCCAACAACUGAUUUGUCUCUGGUCAUUAUUGCAAGUUUGGGGAUGAUAUGUGAGAAAUCACACAAUUGGCAUUGCUGCUCAGUGCCUCUGGGAUUCCUUCAAAUACAGAUAUUGCCACAACUCAACUUUCUUAUGUGGAAUAAUCUGCCUUAUGAUUGGUUACACAAAUAUUUUACUGAGUUGGAAUACAGUUUGUGUGGAAAAAGGAGAGGUUCUGGAAGAAAAGCUGGAAUGAACUCUGCAGUCGGAAGGAAGGAAGCACGCCAUUCCAGGAGAGGAAGACGGCUUCUUUUACAAUGGAUGUGGAUUAUAGCUUGAUGUUUUCUUCAUCUGUGAACUGCAAGAUGCUUUAAAGGAGAGUCGCAGCUGUUUCAUUGGAUUGUUGGAUUGUAAAAGCACAGAGAACACACCUUUUUAUAGUACAGUUGGACAUUGUGGUUCAGAGGCCCUGUUGGGAUCCUGGGAAUAAACCAUUUGGAGCUAUACAGCUGAUGGCAGCAUCAAAGAAGCUUGAAGAAAUCACCUUGUGAAGUGCAUUGAACCUUCUGCAACAGAACCUAAUUCCCAGCAAGGCAGCAACUGGGAAAUAUUGGCACAUCCGUUGUGUGGAAGGAAUGUGAUCCGUCUGGGAAAUCACAAACUCAAAAUGCUUGAUCAAUACCAGCUCGGCUUUCAACAAGUGGCAAAAUGUGGGGGAAAAUAGUCUGAAAGAAAAAAAAAGACAAGACAGACUUAGUGAGGAAGACCAUGAAUUCAUCAAGGGCCAUCUCUGCUAAAAGAAAUGAGACUUCAGAAGAGAUAUUUGAACUUUUGAAGUUCUUGUAGGACUACCAGCAACGUGUAGAUAGUAUAAACAGUUGGGUCAUUAUCCGUCUUGGCAGAUCUUGUCGAGGUGGUUUCCAUAGGUUUUGGCUGAAGAGCUUUUGUAUAACUUAAGAGAAGGAUAUAAAAUUUAGGUAGUGAAUCAGUGAUGUUGACAUCUCUUAAUGUCCUGUAUUUGAAGGUAUAUAAAUGCUGAUAACAUUUGAUGUAGCUACUUUGCUUGGAUCUCAAACUCUGUCAUCUAAGGAAUCAGUGAUAGUAAGUUAAACAAGUACAUCUUGGCCAUUAGGAACAUCUAGCCCCUUGUUUUAUGCCAUGCAAAACAGAAAUAGAUUUGUUCUUGACCUAGGUUGUUGGGUUUUGGUUAUUUUUCUUAGGUAUGUCCUGUUGCAUAGCCACUAAUACUGGCUGUGAGAGCUUGUGGGGACCUAUGGUCCUCCUUUGGUUUAAUAGAGUUGGACAGAGUAAAAAGCAGGUGAAAUGAUAUUGUGAAACUACCCCACAGUCAGUUCACUUUGAUUUUCAGAGCCAUUUCCCAUCAGCAUUUGCUGCUUAUAUUCUGUCUGUAAUUGAACUGUCUCCUGAGUUCAUGAACUUCUCUGCCAGAAGCAGUCUCUCUGAAGAUGAAAUCAUUUAUUGUCUUAUUUGUAGACUGAGUUUAUGCCAUUAUUUGGAAGUGGCAGAGUUCUUAGGACUUAGAAUUUUUAGAACAAAUUUCUCAAAUGCUGGUAGUGCUUUGCUAACUUGUCUCUCUCCUUAAAUGCAUAAAAUUACUCAACUUUCAUCAUGCUUCAUGUUUUGUAUAGUCAUCUUUCACUUAGAAUUGGGUUUCUGAUUCACUCUUGCAUGAAGAGGUACAUAGACUCAUUUACGGGUCCUGCAAGUCAGGGUGUCCAAAUGUUAGUGUUCCUUAGCGGCAUUAAAUGUCAGGGAAGUGAUAAGGAUACAAAUAAAACAUUUUAUAUACAACUCA